UGUUUUUCUAUUUGGUGGACUGUAAGUUCUGCAUAACAUCCUGACUUCUUGUACACGGUGUCAUAUCUACACUUACACUUAGUUCAUGACAAGUUAAUGUAGAUAUUUUAACCACAUAGUCACUAGUCGGUGCUGUUUGUCGUGAAUUUCCGUCCUCCACAUAGAGCCGCACCUGCGCAGCCCUCUUGCGCGGUGUCUGCAAAUCGCAUCAGGCAAUGCGCAAACAGUCAAAUAACGCAUGGUUAAAUAUCGAAUUGAAACAUUUAACCAAGAAUAAUUGUCUGUUUUUUUGUUUUUUUAUUCAACAUAUUGUUUUUUCACUGUCAAAGCGAUCAGCAGAUUAAAUUGUACCCUGUUUGAGCACAAUUAACGAGGACUGCACGAAAUGGUUAUGUGUGGCUCAGGAACGCGCACAGCACAGUCCACGCGCUCACGUGCAGACGGCAGUGUCUGGUCACGCGGCACCGUAGUGUGAGCCUCUAAUUAAAUGCAGCUGCAUGUGAGCACACAUGCGCCCUAACUGUAUACUCUCAUAUACUCUCGAUAAAAAAGAUUAUAUAUAAAGUCACUGCCACUUCAAAUGUCAAAAGACUUGAGGUUACUUAAAAAUGGUCACUGUGGAUUAGCAUCGGACAAUAGAAUUUAAGCAUGAAUGGAUUAAAUAAUGAAUGGUUCUGUGUCCUUUAUAACGUACUAAACAGUGGAUUGUGCUUCAGGUGUCUUUAAUAAAACCUAUGAAAAGAUAAGGCUACAUGAAAUGUAAGAAUCUAUUUUCCCCAUAGGUAGCCUAUUAAAAUUACAUGGGCGAAUGCAAUAGACACCGCUAACACUUGAUCGAUUAUUGUUGCCAAAGUAGGCUAUAGCUACUGCAAUUAGCCCGUCCUUAUCAGAUCACUUAUAGGAGUCCCGCAAACCACGUUUCCAGUUCAAAGAACGCUGCGCGGCACACUGCACCGCACAAUCGCAUGCUCCAGAGCUGACAAGAUGAUUGCCAGUGUUCGGCACUUUCUAUUUUUAUCCUCGUGGCGCUGUUUCCUCUCUUACAAUCAUUUUAUGAUUGCGGGCGGGAAUAAAACAUGCUCUGAAACUCGCGUUUGUCCCUCUCUCUGACACCUUUAACCUGGACAACUUAUUAAAAUAGGCGUUGGUGUCGUGAGCAAGCCGUCCUUGAGAGCGUCAAGCUUAUGAGAAGUGCGAGAGAGGAGGAGGAUGAGGAGAGAGAAUCAGAAGAUUAUGGAUUGAUACAAAUAGUCGCCCGCGCCAACCGAAGCCAGAGUUGAAUUAAUGUGUUACUAUUUUUGGAACUCCUGUGUUUCCAGGGGAAACCUAAUGACGCAAUGACGUCAAUGCAGGUCAACGCCAGACUGGAGGAAUUGAGCGCUUCCAUUAGAUUUUGCAGUAUUUUCCAGAAUAGCGGAUAGGAUAAAAUGGAUUAGUUUGAAUGUCUGAAUAAUCAAAAUAUAGUGCUUAUUUAAAAUGAUAACGACACCGCAGAAAAAACACCGAGACGCGGGAUGUUUUCUUUUAAGUUCAUGAAGAGAAUCUGGGGGGAAAAACAGCUCUCCAUCCAGAGGUUUGCCAAACGAGAUUGAACAGACGCCCAAGGUACAGGGUGGAGAUCAUGGUCCUUUUUGGGUCUUUUUGCGGUCUGGGCUUGCUGUUCCUUGAAGCAGUAGCCAGGAAGCCCUUACCCCAAAAAGUAUCUGCAAGGGACAUUCACAUCUGAUAGGCCAGGCUGGACAUUCACAUCUGAUAGGCCAGGCUGGACAUUCACAUCUGAUAGGCCAGGCUGGACAUUCACAUCUGAUAGGCCAGGCUGGACAUUAACAUCUGAUAGGCCAGGCUGGACAUUAACAUCUGAUAGGCCAGGCUGGACAUUUGAUCCAGAAUGUUCUCUGUCUCUCUUUCUUUAUAGCUCUUCCUCUGUGACAUGCACACACACACACACAUACACAGACACAUGCACAGUAGCCUGAAAUAAAAAGCUUGCAAUGUGACUACUAAA